CCUACGGGAGGCAGCAGUGGGGGAUAUUGCACAAUGGGGGAAACCCUGAUGCAGCGACGCCGCGUGAGUGAAGAAGUAUUUAGGUAUGUAAAGCUCUAUCAGUAGGGAAGUAAAAAGACGGUAGCUGACUAAGAAGCAUCGGCUAACUACGUGCAAGCAGCCGCGGUAAUACGUAGGGGGCAAGCGUUAUCCGGAUUUACUGGGUGUAAAGGGAGCGUAGACGGUUAUACAAGUCGGAAGUGAAAUACCCGGGCUCAACCUGCGAACUGCUAUGGAAACUGUAUGGCUUGAGUGCUGGAGAGGUAAGCGGAAUUCCUAGUGUAGCGGUGAAAUGCGUAGAUAUUAGGAGGAACACCGGUGGCGAAGGCAGCUUACUAGACAGUAACUGACAUUGAGGCUCGAAAGCGUGGGGAGCAAACAGGAUUAGAUACCCGAGUAGUC
rnacentral:rRNA from 1 species